rnacentral:rRNA from 1 species
UGGCUGCUUCGCUGACGAGUGGCGGACGGGUGAGUAAUGUCUGGGAAACUGCCCGAUGGAGGGGGAUAACUACUGGAAACGGUAGCUAAUACCGCAUAACGUCGCAAGACCAAAGAGGGGGACCUUCGGGCCUCUUGCCAUCGGAUGUGCCCAGAUGGGAUUAGCUAGUUGGUGAGGUAACGGCUCACCAAGGCGACGAUCCCUAGCUGGUCUGAGAGGAUGACCAGCCACACUGGAACUGAGACACGGUCCAGACUCCUACGGGAGGCAGCAGUGGGGAAUAUUGCACAAUGGGCGCAAGCCUGAUGCAGCCAUGCCGCGUGUAUGAAGAAGGCCUUCGGGUUGUAAAGUACUUUCAGCGGGGAGGAAGGUGUUGUGGUUAAUAACCGCAGCCAUUGACGUUACCCGCAGAAGAAGCACCGGCUAACUCCGUGCCAGCAGCCGCGGUAAUACGGAGGGUGCAAGCGUUAAUCGGAAUUACUGGGCGUAAAGCGCACGCAGGCGGUCUGUCAAGUCGGAUGUGAAAUCCCCGGGCUCAACCUGGGAACUGCAUUCGAAACUGGCAGGCUUGAGUCUCGUAGAGGGGGGUAGAAUUCCAGGUGUAGCGGUGAAAUGCGUAGAGAUCUGGAGGAAUACCGGUGGCCA